rnacentral:rRNA from 1 species
AGUGAACGCUGGCGGCGUGCCUAAUACAUGCAAGUCGAACGGAGUGGCGUACGGGUGAGUAAUAUAUAGCUAAUCUGCUCCUUGCUGGAGGACAACAGUUAGAAAUGACUGCUAAUACUCCAUAGCAAGGGAUGAGACUAUAUCGUAUCAGCUAGUCGGUGGGGUAACGGCCUACCGAGGCUAUGACGCGUAACUGGUUUGCGAUGAUGAUCAGUCACAUUGGAACUGCGACCCAGUCCAGACUCCUACUAGAGGCAGCGGUAGGGAAUAUUUCGCAAUGGGGGAGACCCUGACGCAGCAACGCCGCGUGGAGGAUGUCACUUUUCGGAGCGUAAACUCCUUUUGUUAGGGAAGCGUUACCUAACGAAUAAGCACCGGCUAACUCCGUGCCAGCAGCCGCGGUAAUUC